CACCAAACGGUCCGCAUCUAUACGAAACAGGCGUUAAAAGCGACCGUUAACGUUGAAGACAGUUCGCUUAAACACGUAAACCAGUUAAAAAAACUAACAACCAUUUUAUCUGCCGGGUCCGUUUCUCCUAAAACGGUAGUUAAAAACCAGUCUGCCAUGAGCAGCCAGGCUGUUUCUAUACAGCCCGCUGACGGAGGCUUCACCUCAGAUGACCCAAGCAGCCAGACUGGCUGUCUGCUAGCUAGCCCCGUUUGAACCUAACGUACAGCGGGCAACAACAACACUUGAACCGACACUCCGAACCAAACUGUCACCGGUUCCUACCGCUACCGUGGCACGGAGGGGAAAAAAUCAUAAUACAGCGGGAUUAUUUUCUACAGGGCUCCGCGGAGUAACGCUAACUCGGAGGGAGAGAGGGAGCCAGCCAAAACAAAUGCAUUUCCCGACAUGAAAGCAUAACAUCCAGAGACGGGCAGCCACGUUUUGCGCUGCUGUGUGCGGGGGGGAAAAGGCUAAAGCUAAAGCACUUAGCUUCACCGGGUUGCCCGUCAUUGACAGGGGCUAACUGGCUAGCGGCUAGCUCCGCUGGCUAAUAAAUUUAUUAUGUGCACUUUCACCGGGGGUGGAGGGGGGACGGCAAAAGUUGGCUACCAAAAAAAAAAAAAAAAAAACCAACGCGAACCGGAUGACAUUCACUUGUCUGACAACUAUCCUCAAAUAUAACCCGAGACCAGUCGCACACCCACUAAAGUUGCGUGACAGCCAGGUAUCUAUCUGUUUUAAUUCUAGUUUGGCUGUCGUGGAGGUUUUCUGGGUGAAAGCAAGGUGAUUCCCACUCUGAGAGCCUGUGAUGGAGGGGACGGACGGACGGACGGACGCUAGCAGCAGCAGCAGCAGCAGCAGCCUGGGCAGAAACAGCCAGCCAGGCGGCUAGUCUGGCUGCAACCAAUCCGCUUUAAUAACUUCACUUUUGCGGUCACUUUGGUCAAAAUUUCUCUCCAGGAGUUAAAUAAAUAAGAAGUUUCCCUUGUGUCCUACCUGUGUGUAGUCUCCGGGUGCAGGGAGCGACAGCCUGGAAGUUGAUUAUUCCCAGAUAUCCAGAGUGGUGCGGUGCGGGGCGCAUAUAGCUAGCGCUGGGUACAGUAAAGAUUGUAGCAUAGCUAACCUAAAGACAACAGUAGAGAGGAGAAAAAAAAACCCUCCUCGUUGCUCAUAGGGGGGAUCGACGACAAAAACCACAUGAUCUUUUACGUCAGCAUAUAUUUGCAUAGGAUGCCAAAUUUAUGUUUCGCGUCCAGGUGACGUGAAAAUGUACAGAAAAGUUUGAUAAUGGCGCAGCCGGACGCUGGCACGGCUGGUCGGGUUGCGGUGGAGAGGCGCAGGCAUGUUGCAGCCACGCACCCCCUGUCCCCCUCCUGCAGCCCUGAGCUGCACCGGUCUGCUGUUUUCAUGACUUACAGCACAGGAUGGCUGUGACUAAACAUCGCUUCAACACUCCUAUACGGCCAUGUAGGAGCUCACAGCACACAGAUGACCUCGCAAACAGCAGCCUGCUCUGGUGCAGCAGCAUCACACAACACCCUGUGUGCAGCUAAUGCAUUAAUCUAAAGAAAAAUGAACAAGCCCCGGUCUGUGAAAUGACAACAGACAGCGACACCUACAGGAGGAUCUGAGAGCUGCACCCUGCAGGUCAGAGGUGAAGUAUAAACUGGCAGCAGCUGAUGAAUUCCUGCUGCUGAUUUGCUUGUUUUACCCCCUCUUAUCGGUUUUAUUGGUCAUCGUCUUUGAUCGAUUUCACAGUUUUAUUGGCUUCGUUGUGACAUUUUCAUUUCUCGUGUGCAUCAAGUCUCACAGUUUCCACUUGUGCUGUCUUAUUAUCAGCUAAAGCACUUUUCACCUAUACAAAUAAAGUUUGAAGUUUAGAGA